CGGUAUGAGAGAAGGGAUUUCCGGUAUAGGUGGUGGGGGCAGGAAAGGGUGGGUGCAUCACAAACAAGAAAUGGAAGAAACGGCUAGCUUUUCCACAAGAAAAUUGAAACACUGAAGCAAAGAAUGAUAGAGACACAUGAGAAUUAUGACAAGUUAUUAGAGAAAGUAAUGAAUUACAGGUUAGCAUCACCACAAAAAAAUUGAAAUAGC